GGCUGUAUAGUGUAGUGGUUAUCACAGUGGAUUCUGAUCACGUGUCGUCACGUGGGUCCGUUCCAUUAACCCCUGUUCGAAUCAGGGUACGGUCA